UCAGUCGUGUCUGACUGUUUGUGACCCCAUGGACUGCAGCAUGCCAGGCUUCCCUGUCCUUCACUAUAUCCCGGAGUUUGCUCAAACUCGGGUCCAUUGACUCAAUGAUGUCAUCUAACCAUCUCAUCCUCUGUCGUCCCCUUCUCCUCCUGCCCCCAAU